rnacentral:rRNA from 1 species
AUUGAACGCUGGCGGCAGGCCUAACACAUGCAAGUCGAGCGAGCGGCGGACGGGUGAGUAAUGUAUGGGGACUGCCCGCUAGAGGGGGAUAAAUACGGGAAACGGUGGCUAAUCCCGCAUACUAUCGGAUAACCCAUAUGGGAUUAGCUAGUAGGUGGGGUAAAGGCGCACCUAGGCGACGAUCGCUAGCUGGUCUGAGAGGAUGAUCAGCCACACUGUGCCUGAGACCCGGCCCAGACUCCUACGGAGGCAGCAGUGGGGAAUAUUGCACAAGGGGCGCAAGCCUGAUUCAGCCCUGCCGCGUGUAUGAAGAAGGCCUUAGGGUUGUAAAGCACUUUCAGUGGGGAGGCGUUACCCUCAGAAGAAGCACCGGCUAACUCCGUGCCAGCAGCCGCGGUAAUUC